CAUGACUUGGUUCAGUGGUGAGUAUACUAAAUUGGAACAAUACACAGAAGAUCAGCAUGGCUUUUUGUUAAGAAAACAAGAAAGUUCAUGGCGUGUUCCAGAUUUUA
rnacentral:snRNA from 1 species